UACGAAGGGGGCUAGCGUUGCUCGGAAUGACUGGGCGUAAGGGGCGCGUAGGCGGCUUACAUAGUUAGGCGUGAAAUUCCUGGGCUCAACCUGGGGACUGCGUCUAAUACAUGUAGGCUUGAGUGUGAAAGAGGGUCGUGGAAUUUCCAGUGUAGAGGUGAAAUUCGUAGAUAUUGGAAAGAACACCGGUGGCGAAGGCGGCGACCUGGUUCAUUACUGACGCUGAGGCGCGCAAUCGUGGGGAGCACACAGG
rnacentral:rRNA from 1 species